rnacentral:rRNA from 1 species
GUAGGCGGCAAGCGUUGUCCGGAAUUAUUGGGCGUAAAGCGCGCGCAGGCGGUCCUUUAAGUCUGAUGUGAAAGCCCACGGCUCAACCGUGGAGGGUCAUUGGAAACUGGGGGACUUGAGUACAGAAGAGGAAAGCGGAAUCCCAAGUGUAGCGGUGAAAUGCGUAGAGAUUUGGAGGAACACCAGUGGCGAAGGCGGCUUUCUGGUCUGUAACUGACGCUGAGGCGCGAAAGCGUGGGGAGCAAACAGGAUUAGAUACCCUGGUAGUCCACGCCGUAAACGAUGAGUGCUAAGUGUUAGGGGGUUUCCCGCCCCCCUUAGUGCUGCAGCUAACGCAUUAAGCACUCCGCCUGGGGAGUACGGCCGCAAGGCUG